rnacentral:rRNA from 1 species
AUGGCCAUUCUGAACACGCUUGAAUGGAACCUGUCAGUUCCUACACAUUACGUGUUCCUCUCGCGCUUUGCCAGGGCCGCCGCGUCCUCCUCACAGCUGAAGAACAACGAGGAGAUGGAGAAUAUGGUGUUCUUUUUUGCUGAACUGGCGCUGCUGCAAUACGCGCUGGUGCCGUCCAAGCCCUCCAUGGUUGCUGCUGCUGCUGUCUAUGCAGCCAGGCUCACACUCAAGAAGACGCCUCUAUGGACUGAGACUCUCAAGCACCAUACUGGCUUUACCGAGUCACAGCUAAUGUAA